rnacentral:rRNA from 1 species
UGGGGAAUAUUGCACAAUGGGCGCAAGCCUGAUGCAGCCAUGCCGCGUGUGUGAAGAAGGCCUUCGGGUUGUAAAGCACUUUCAGCGAGGAGGAAGGGUAGUGUGUUAAUAGCACAUUGCAUUGACGUUACUCGCAGAAGAAGCACCGGCUAACUCCGUGCCAGCAGCCGCGGUAAUACGGAGGGUGCAAGCGUUAAUCGGAAUUACUGGGCGUAAAGCGCACGCAGGCGGUUUGUUAAGUCAGAUGUGAAAUCCCCGCGCUUAACGUGGGAACUGCAUUUGAAACUGGCAAGCUAGAGUCUUGUAGAGGGGGGUAGAAUUCCAGGUGUAGUGGUGAAAUGCGUAGAGAUCUGGAGGAAUACCGGUGGCGAAGGCGGCCCCCUGGACAAAGACUGACGCUCAGGUGCGAAAGCGUGGGGAGCAAACA